GAUGAAGAACGUAGCGAAAUGCGAUACGUAAUGUGAAUUGGAGAAUUCAGUGAAUCAUCGAGUCUUUGAACGCACAUUGCGCCCCCUGGUAUUCCGGGGGGCAUGCCUGUCCGAGCGUCAUUGCUGCCCUCAAGCACGGCUUGUGUGUUGGGCCUCCGUCCUCCUCCCGGGGGACGGGCCCGAAAGGCAGCGGCGGCACCGCGUCCGGUCCUCGAGCGUAUGGGGCUUCGUCACCCGCUCUUGUAGGCCCGGCCGGCGCUUGCCGACACAUCAAUCUUUUUUCCAGGUUGACCUCGGAUCAGGUAGGGAUACCCGCUGAACUUAAGCAUAUCAAUAAGCGGAGGA
rnacentral:misc_RNA from 1 species